GGUGUUAUAGUAUAGUGGUUAGUACGGUUCGUUGUGGUUGAGCGCAUCAUCAGCUCCGAACAGACCCAGGUUCGAUUCCUGGUAACGCCA